rnacentral:rRNA from 1 species
UACGAAGGGUGCAAGCGUUGCUCGGAAUUACUGGGCGUAAAGCGUGCGUAGGUGGUUUGUUAAGUCUGAUGUGAAAGCCCUGGGCUCAACCUGGGAAUUGCAUAGGAUACUGGCAGGCUAGAGUGCGGUAGAGGAUGGCGGAAUUCCCGGUGUAGCAGUGAAAUGCGUAGAGAUCGGGAGGAACAUCUGUGGCGAAGGCGGCAUCCUGGACCGGCAUUGACGCUGAGGCGCGAAAGCCAGGGGAGCAAACGGG